CCUACGGGUGGCAGCAGUGGGGAAUAUUGGGCAAUGGACGAAAGCCUGACCCAGCAACGCCGCGUGAAGGAAGAAGGCUUUCGGGUUGUAAACUUCUUUUUACAGGGAAUAGCAGAAGACGGUACCUGUCGAUUAAUCCACGGCUAACUACGUGCCAGCAGCCGCGGUAAUACGUAGGUGGCAAGCGUUGUCCGGAUUUACUGGGUGUAACGGGCGUGUAGCCGGGCUGAUAAGUCAGAUGUGAAAUCCGGGGGCUCAACCCUCGAACUGCAUUUGAAACUGGUGGUCUUGAGUACUGGAGAGGCAGACGGAAUUCGUGGUGUAGCGGUGAAAUGCGUAGAUAUCAGGAGGAACACCAGUGGCGAAGGCGGCCUGCUGGACAGCAACUGACAGUGAGGCGCGAAAGCGUGGGGAGCAAACAGGAUUAGAUACCCGUGUAGUC
rnacentral:rRNA from 1 species